rnacentral:misc_RNA from 1 species
GAAACAAGUAAAAGGGUCUCCUAGUCAUUUCAAUCGUACGUAAAGAAAACUAGGAGAUGUUUACAACAUGAGAGUAACUAUUGCUAUAUGGUAUAUACACUAUCAAUUUUUAGGGCCAGAGCCAGUUGGGGGCUGUUGGAAUUGCAGGUACAAUGCUGCCAUCCUACUAUACGCAUCCAUGUUAAUUGGCUGUGAUUGGCAAGCGAGUAAGGCAGCUAAAGGAUCAGGCAUAGCAGCAGAGGGAGGAGAAGGCGCGGAGUUUGAGUUAUCCCAGGAGGUUAUAGGCUGCAUGAAGGCGGCAGAAGGGUGGAGAAAGGAAGGAAGUCCGGGGAUAUUGGGGCGGCUAAGGUUGUUGAUAUCAAAAACUCCGGCAACUCCCAUGCCCAUACCCAUACCCAUACCCAUA